CCUACGGGGGGCAGCAGUGGGGAAUAUUGGGCAAUGGGCGCAAGCCUGACCCAGCAACGCCGCGUGAGGGAAGAAGGCCCACCGGUUGUAAACUUCUUUUGUCAAGGACAAAACAAAUGGCAGUACCUGCCGAAUAAGCCACGGCUAACUACGUGCCUGCAGCAGCGGGAAUCCGUAGGUGGCAAGCGUUAUCCGGAUUUACGGGGUGUAAGGGGCGUUUGGGGGGGAGUGCAAGUCAGAUGUGAAAUUCCAGGGCGCCACCCUGGAACUGGAUUUGAAACUGUCUUUCUUGAGUGAUGGAGAGGCAGGCGGAAUGCCGGGUGUAGCGGUGAAAUGCGUAGAUAUACGGAGGAACACCAGUGGCGAAGGCGGCCUGCUGGACAUUAACUGACGCUGAGGCGCGAAAGCGUGGGGAGCAAACAGGAUUAGAUACUCCUGUAGUC
rnacentral:rRNA from 1 species